rnacentral:ncRNA from 2 species
AAUCUGUUGCGGGGGGACUCUAUGGAGUUGAGAAGGUUAAAACCUGACCCUUUGAACCUGUUAGUUAACACUGGCGUAGGGAAGCAAAACAUCGAUCGAA